rnacentral:rRNA from 1 species
UACGAAGGGGGCUAGCGUUGCUCGGAAUCACUGGGCGUAAAGCGCACGUAGGCGGAUUGUUAAGUCAGGGGUGAAAUCCUGGAGCUCAACUCCAGAACUGCCUUUGAUACUGGCGAUCUUGAGUCCGGGAGAGGUGAGUGGAACUGCGAGUGUAGAGGUGAAAAUUCGUAGAUAUUCGCAAGAACACCAGUGGCGAAGGCGGCUCACUGGCCCGGUACUGACGCUGAGGUGCGAAAGCGUGGGGAGCAACAGGG